rnacentral:rRNA from 1 species
ACUCAAAGGAAUUGACGGGGGCCCGCACAAGCAGCGGAGCGUGUGGUUUAAUUCGAGGCAACGCGAAGAACCUUACCAGGGUUGGACAUGCUGGUGGUAGGGAGGUGAAAGCCGACCGACUCUUCGGAGAGCCAGCACAGGUGCUGCAUGGCUGUCGUCAGCUCGUGCCGUGAGGUGUUAGGUUAAGUCCUGUAACGAGCGCAACCCACGUCGUUAGUUACAAGUGUCUAGCGAGACUGCCGGUGAUAAGCCGGAGGAAGGUGUGGAUGACGUCAAGUCAGCAUGGCCUUUAUAUCCUGGGCUACACACACGCUACAAUGGCCGGUACAAUGGGUCGCCAAGCCGCGAGGCGGAGCCAAUCCCGCAAAGCCGGUCACAGUUCGGAUUGCAGGCUGCAACUCGCCUGCAUGAAGUCGGAGUUGCUAGUAACCGCAGGUCAGCAACACUGCGGUGAAUACGUUCCCGGGCCUUGUACACACCGCCCGU